GGGCAAUUAGCUUAAUUGGUAGAGCAUCUAGUUUACACCUAGAAGGUUAGGAGUUCGAAUCUCUUAUUGCCUA
rnacentral:tRNA from 1 species